CACUGCUCUAUGUGCUUGGACUUUUGGUGAGACCUUGACUCCUUAGCAAGGGUUAUGGCGCCGUUGUCUUUGCAGUAUAUUGUCAUAGCAUCUAAUGGUAUGACAUUCAGUUCUGCAACUAACGUUAAAAUCAGAUUUCGUCCUACACAUCUACAGCAUACUCAGCUUCCAUUGAUCAGUUGUUUGGAACCUUUCCAACAUACUAAACCAACACAAGAACCUUUUUUUCUUUCGUAAAAUAGCGAAUGGUGGGAGGC
rnacentral:lncRNA from 1 species